rnacentral:rRNA from 1 species
GUGAGGAAUAUUGGUCAAUGGUCGGAAGACUGAACCAGCCAUGCCGCGUGCAGGAAGACGGUCCUAUGGAUUGUAAACUGCUUUUAUUCGGGGUUAAACCUCCUUACGUGUAGGGAGCUGAAGGUACCGAAAGAAUAAGCACCGGCUAACUCCGUGCCAGCAGCCGCGGUAAUAAGGAGGGUGCAAGCGUUAUCCGGAAUCAUUGGGUUUAAAGGGUCCGCAGGCGGGAUUGUAAGUCAGUGGUGAAAUCCGGCAGCUCAACUGUCGCACUGCCAUUGAUACUGAAGUCCUUGAAUUCGAUUGGAGUGGGCGGAAUAUGUCAUGUAGCGGUGAAAUGCUUAGAUAUGACAUAGAACACCGAUAGCGAAGGCAGCUCACUAAGUCUGAAUUGACGCUCAUGGACGAAAGCGCGAGUAGCAAACAGGAUUAGAUACCCUAGUAGUCC